rnacentral:piRNA from 1 species
UNUGACUUGCCGAAUUGCCUGCUAUUACUUA